rnacentral:ncRNA from 1 species
GCGCAGCCCUAAAUUCUUUGGGGCCGAACUUAGUAAUGAGUUCUGAGAAAAACUGGGUGAAUUCGGGGGAAACUUCUUUAACAGAAACAAUCCCGAGCCGAUCCGGAAGGGGCUUUGAUUUUCCGGCAGGUGUAGAGACUAAUAGGUGAGUCCCAACGAUAAUCCUAUAUAAGCGCCCAGCCCCUCUUUAUAUAAAUUCUAAGGGGGUGAUGAUAUAGUCCAAUUCAGCUUUGGAAGAGGCUG